rnacentral:snRNA from 1 species
AGCUUUGCGCAGUGGCAGUAUCGUAGCCAAUGAGGUCUAUCCGAGGCGCAAUUAUUGCUAAUUGAAAACUUUUCCCAAUAGUAUAAUUUACAAAUUAGAAAAUGCACCCUGUUUAAGUCUUGCA